AUGGCAGUCUCAGUUUGCAGUAUCAACAUUAACCCCAUAGCAUUAGCAACACCAUCUUUCUCAUUCAAGUCUCUCAAAUUCCCUUCCUUCUGGCCAACACAAAAGUUAUGGCACUGGAAAGUUAAAUGGUCAGGGCGAGAAGCUUCUGGGGAGGUUAUUCGAGAAUUUCAAGAGCAAAAGGGGAGCCAGCGUGAAAGAGUCAUUGCUACUAAGUUUGCAGCAUAUCCAUGGCGCCUUACACCAGGGCAGUUUGUGAAUGCUUGCAGGGCAUCACUAGAUAGAAUGCAAAUUGAGCAAAUUGGGAUGGGACAACUACAUCGGUCUACUACAAAUUAUGCUCCUUUGCAAGAAUUAGCUCUUUGGGAUGGUUUAGUGGCAAUAUAAGAGAAGGAUUUAGUUAAAGCAGUUGGAGUAAGUAAUUACGGACCAAAGCAGCUUUUAAAGAUACAUGAUUAUCUGAAAGACCUUGGAGUCCCCUUGUGCUCAGCCCAGUUGCAAUUUUCUCUGUUAAGCACGGGGAAAUAUCAACUAAAGAUCAAGAGCAUAUGUGACAGUCUGGGUAUUCGUAUGAUUGCAUAUAGUCCUCUAGGACUUGGAAUGCUUACUGGGAAAUAUUCAUCAUCCAAACUUCCGAGUGGGCCAAGGGCGUUGCUAUUUAAGCAAAUUCUUCCGGGACUAGAUCCUUUAUUGAGUUCCCUGAGAGAGAUUGCAAAUAAACGACGGAAAACCAUGUCACAAGUUGCUAUAAAUUGGUGCAUCGGUUCCAAUUACUGGAGUCAAAUCAAUUAAACAAGCUGAGGAAAAUUUGGGUGCUCUUCGUUGGCGCCUCUCCUCAGACGAGUUGCUUCAGUUGGAGGAUGCAGCAAAUGAAUCACCUCGCAGGAUGAUCCAAAACAUUUUCCAAACCAGGUAUACAUGUAACACUAAAAAGGCAAACCAAAUAAAGAGAUACGGAGGAUGCAAUCAUCCAAGUGUUUUACAUGACUUGGCAUUCAUAACAGAUAAAACCAGUGGCGGGACCUUCGCACUCGGUUCGAAGGAAUGCAUAGUUUACUCAAUGGAGGUCACUGGUUUAUAUCAUCUGGUAUCAUUAAAGGCAGAGAGCAAACAAGCUUGUCCAGGAAAAAUGACAACGGAUCAAUCUAUAACGGCACAACAAUGGCGUAAACUAAUGCAAGAGUCCAUGCCAGUGAUGCCACAACGUAGUUUUGGACAAUCUCGUCAGAUAAUAUUGCUUUGUUGUUAAAAAUUAAACUGACGGUUAGAAAAGUACAAUGAACAAAUGCCACGCUUACAUUCACAAAAAUUAAAAAAUAAAGAAUUCAUUUACUUUCA